GAACGGUAAGGCUCCAGCUUGCUGGGGUACACGAGUGGCGAACGGGUGAGUAACACGUGGGUGACCUGCCCUGCACUUCGGGAUAAGCCUGGGAAACUGGGUCUAAUACCGGAUAGGACCGCACCGUGAGGGUGUGGUGGAAAGUUUUUUCGGUGUGGGAUGGGCCCGCGGCCUAUCAGCUUGUUGGUGGGGUAAUGGCCUACCAAGGCGGCGACGGGUAGCCGGCCUGAGAGGGUGGACGGCCACAUUGGGACUGAGACACGGCCCAGACUCCUACGGGAGGCAGCAGUGGGGAAUAUUGCACAAUGGGCGGAAGCCUGAUGCAGCGACGCCGCGUGGGGGAUGACGGCCUUCGGGUUGUAAACUCCUUUCACCAUCGACGAAGGGUUUCUGACGGUAGAUGGAGAAGAAGCACCGGCUAACUACGUGCCAGCAGCCGCGGUAAUACGUAGGGUGCGAGCGUUGUCCGGAAUUACUGGGCGUAAAGAGCUCGUAGGUGGUUUGUCGCGUCGUCUGUGAAAUUCCGGGGCUUAACUCCGGGCGUGCAGGCGAUACGGGCAUAACUUGAGUACUGUAGGGGAGACUGGAAUUCCUGGUGUAGCGGUGAAAUGCGCCAGAUAUCAGGAGGAACACCGGUGGCGAAGGCGGGUCUCUGGGCAGUAACUGACGCUGAGGAGCGAAAGCAUGGGGAGCGAACAGGAUUAGAUACCCUGGUAGUCCAUGCCGUAAACGGUGGGCGCUAGGUGUGGGUUUCCUUCCACGGGAUCCGUGCCGUAGCUAACGCAUUAAGCGCCCCGCCUGGGGAGUACGGCCGCA
rnacentral:rRNA from 1 species